rnacentral:rRNA from 1 species
AUCAGCCUUUUGAGCGUGAUUAUGUGGAGCGUGAGGAGUUAAACGCCUUCAUGCCUUCAUAUUCGUGCACUUUGGGUGUACUUGCUCGUGUGGUAGGUUAACAUCAAUUUCGAUCAUCAUAAAAUGGUUGGAGGAAUGUAGCUUCGAUCUCGUAUUGAAGUGUUAUAGCCUUUAGCAGAUGUGAUGAUUGGGAUUGAGGAUUGCAACGGAUACCCUUCGGGGCUACCCGUCUGAUCUCUGAAAGUUACUCUGGUACCGAAAGCUUGCUUACGGAAUCAAAGUUGACGUUCAACAGGUUAGAACGGGUUAAAUUCGUUAAGGAUGUUGACGUAAUGGCUUU